GCGGGGGGCUAAUAAUGCAAGUCGAGCGAGCAGAACCAGCAGAUUUACUUCGGUAAUGAUGCUGGGGACGCGAGCGGCGGAUGGGUGAGUAACACGUGGGGAACCUGCCCCAUAGUCUGGAAUACCACUUGGAAACAGGUGCUAAUACCGGAUAAGAAAGCAGAUCGCAUGAUCAGCUUAUAAAAGACGGCGUAAGCUGUCGCUAUGGGAUGGCCCCGCGGUGCAUUAGCUAGUUGGCAAGGUAACGGCUUACCAAGGCAAUGAUGCAUAGCCGAGUUGAGAGACUGAUCGGCCACAUUGGGACUGAGACACGGCCCAAACUCCUACGGGAGGCAGCAGUAGGGAAUCUUCCACAAUGGACGCAAGUCUGAUGGAGCAACGCCGCGUGAGUGAAGAAGGUUUUCGGAUCGUAAAGCUCUGUUGUUGGUGAAGAAGGAUAGAGGUAGUAACUGGCCUUUAUUUGACGGUAAUCAACCAGAAAGUCACGGCUAACUACGUGCCAGCAGCCGCGGUAAUACGUAGGUGGCAAGCGUUGUCCGGAUUUAUUGGGCGUAAAGCGAGCGCAGGCGGAAGAAUAAGUCUGAUGUGAAAGCCCUCGGCUUAACCGAGGAACUGCAUCGGAAACUGUUUUUCUUGAGUGCAGAAGAGGAGAGUGGAACUCCAUGUGUAGCGGUGGAAUGCGUAGAUAUAUGGAAGAACACCAGUGGCGAAGGCGACUCUCUGGUCUGCAACUGACGCUGAGGCUCGAAAGCAUGGGUAGCGAACAGGAUUAGAUACCCUGGUAGUCCAUGCCGUAAACGAUGAGUGCUAAGUGUUGGGAGGUUUCCGCCUCUCAGUGCUGCAGCUAACGCAUUAAGCACUCCGCCUGGGGAGUACGACCGCAAGGUUGAAACUCAAAGGAAUUGACGGGGGCCCGCACAAGCGGUGGAGCAUGUGGUUUAAUUCGAAGCAACGCGAAGAACCUUACCAGGUCUUGACAUCUAGUGCCAUCCUAAGAGAUUAGGAGUUCCCUUCGGGGACGCUAAGACAGGUGGUGCAUGGCUGUCGUCAGCUCGUGUCGUGAAGAUGUUGGGGUUAAGUCCCGCAACGAGCCGCAACCC
rnacentral:rRNA from 1 species